rnacentral:lncRNA from 1 species
AAGAGAUGAGUGACCUUGGAGGAGAAAGAUUACUAGCUAAUCCCUCCAAGGGUGGCCGGCCUCUUAGAGAGAAAAUGGAGAGAUAUGUUCUCUCCAAUUCUCUAAAAGAAACCCUAAAUGAAUUUUGGCUAUAAAGUCAUAUUUAUACCUUUAUUCAUUGGAGUGGCAAACUUGUAAUUAAGUCCAAAACCCACUCCUUUAACAAAAUGGCCGGCCAUAGGGUUUCAUUGGGCCCUUAAGGCCUUUGUGAAUUAUUUGUCAUUAAGUUGUCAUACAACUUAAGUCAAUGGGCUUGAUGUUCGAAGCCCAUUGGGCCUUGAGGCCCAAAACUAUCCCGAGGUCAUUAACGAACUUAUUCGUUUGAUUAAUUAACAUAUUAAUUAAUCCUUGCCAUAAAUAAUUAAACCAUUUAAUUAUUGUUACUCAUCUCCAUUGUUUCUUCAAUCUCUACCUUACACGGUGUACGAUCCAUUAGGUUCCUUUUAGCGAGGCAGUGGGCGAUUAAAACCAUUUCAAAUCGAUUGUGAAUUGAAACUUACUUUCAAUUCUCCCUUUAGUGAUUAUACACGUUUAGGGCUUCCACAAACCAUGAGUGACACCUAGCAGCAUUGUUUGAUUUGAUAGUUUAUUCAUGUCUAUUAUCCAAUGUGAUUCGUGUGCUUAUAUGAUUACCUUGAAUGUGAUUUGGAACGACUUCCUAAAUCUCAUUCAUACUCUGGUAAGAGAUUCUUAAUCAUAUCAUAGAGUAUUCUCCCCCAAACGGUUUGAAGGUUAGAGAUCCCUUGUUGCGCAUUCACUUGCCUCAAUGGCUAAGUGGCUUAACCCCGACGAUGUCGUGGACACCCUCCUGAUGGAGUGACUUUGACAUAAUCAAAGAUCAAGGACUUAACCACAAGACAACUAUGAUGCCUCAGGUCAAAGGACUACUUUGCAUUAUCCCAACCAUGAGUUCUCAUGUGACAUGAGUAUGAGAACUCCUCGUUGAUUGUGUUCAGUGGACUCAUUCAUUAUUGAGCACCUACAUGCUUGUCUUGAUGUCACACACACCAAUGACUCGAGACUAGUCACUCUCCCUGAGAGAAGACACAGUAGGUACUGAUCUUAACUAAUUGUCAAUGCCCAAUUGGCAAUCAUAUGAUCAGGAACGUUUAGGAUGUGUCUACGAAAGAAUGGUCUCAUGAAUAUAACUUCUUUAGAUCGCAUUCUCCCAAUCACAUAUUCCUUGGACUUAUCGUUUAAGCGUAUAACAUUUAUAUGAGAUGGCUCAAACAAUAAUCUUUGCCCUUGAUAUUAAACUAGAUUAGUUUAACAUGUGAAAUGUCCGUAAAGUAUCAUCAUAUGAUUGGUUUUAGGGCACAUUUCCAACAAUCUCCCACUUGCACUAGAGCCAAUCAGCUUGGUCAUCAGUGAUGAUACCUCUUCUGUAGUCAUUUCAUAAAUGGCUGAGUAGUAGGCCUAGACAAUGGAUAUCUAUAUGUUAUCCAUAGAAGCAACCUUGAGAAUAACAACGUCACCAUUAUACAUGAUUCUCAAUCAUGUGGUUCAGUCUCUUAUUUGAGCUCGGAUCGUGAUGAGACCUUGAUUCUCUGGCUUGAGCUAUCGCCCCAUUAGUGUCGUAGUGUCAGUACACUAGAGACAGUUUCUGGUUGGAACCGAAUAGAGAGUUCAUAAAUGAACUUUCCCAUCCAAACAACAUUGUUGCAAGCUUCUAUAUGGCAAUAUAUUUUGCAUUCACAAUGGAACACACUAAAGUCAUUACUUUUAGUGUUUCCAUCCAAAUAUCUCUUUUAGUCAUAAUAAAGAGAUAUAUGAUUAUCUCUUCAUUCAUAAUGAAGAAACAUCCAAUGAUGGAUUAGAUUCAUAAUCUAAUACAUUUACACUUCCUUUACGUUACUCUAAUUCUUCCUCAUUCUUUGAGGAAUCUAUCCUUUAGUAUUUCUUAAAUACUUAAGGGCUCACUUGACAGUUGACGUGGUUCUGAUCCUAGGCUUGCACUGAUAUCGUCUUGUACCUUUCUAGGUACAACUCAUAUCAAUGUUUUUCAUACAAUAUGAAAUACAUAAAUCACCUCUCUGCGUAUGCAUAAAGGAUUCUAUUUACGCAUUAUUUCUUUGGGAGUCAAAGGGUACGUUCCCUUUGAGAAGGGCAACUUGCUAGUCUCACUAGAGUCGUCCUUCUAAUUGAAGUUUAUCAUCAUAUGAGAAACUUCCUAGCAUCUAUUGUCUAUUAUUAGGGCUUGAUAUAAUCCAAUUAUAUCCUAAAAUCUAUCAAUAUAGAUUUCCAUCCCAUGUAUAUAGAUUAUGUCUCCCAUAUACAUUCUAUCUUCAUAUAAUGUUUUAAAGUCAUAACUUUAACGAAGAAGUAUUCUUUUCAUUUCCAAAAUUAAUAUAUCAUAUAUUUAUAUAUAUAUAUAUAUAUAUAUAUAUAUUCAAAUUUAGGAACAUGAUUAACUCCCACUAAUCUUUUGUAAACCUAGUAAACAAAAGAUUCAUUUACAUCUUCAUGAGAAAUCAAACGUUUUGAUCUUUCUCUCAUAAGACGUUUACAGCUCCCACUAGCUUGCUAAGAUCCAUGAUGGUUGGAUCUCUACAACUUACAUGUCUUGUGAUUCAUAGUUUUAGACAUAUAUUAUCAAGACUAUCUUAAUAAUGGUUUCGGAAACCUAUUUGUUGAUCACUAUCUUGUUUCUUAAAGAACCAUUCUUUGAGUUCUAUCCCUCAUUCAUUUGCUUUAUCUUGGGCAAAUCCUAGUGUAGGAUUACAAUGAACUACCCAACAAACAACAUUUGUUAGUUGGUUUAUAGAAGUGAUAUCCAAAUGUUAAUUUAAGGAUAUCCACAAGAUAAUUCUCAAACAAAUAUUGCUUAUUAGCACACAACCCCAAAUCUUAACAUGAUUAAGAUUUGUCUUUCUUUCCAACUACAUCUUAUAGAGUCAUGAAAAUUUUGGAAGAUCCUCUAAUUGACAAUCAUAUUGUCUUAGAAGCAUAUAUCCUAUAUAUGGGUAAUUGAUAACAUCCAACGAACUAAAUCUUAUUCAAGUUCGUUCUUCUCCUAAUGGAGAAAUCCAUUAUCAUUUUAUGCUUCUUUCCUUGAUAUUUUUCAAGGAAACUAUUCUAAAGUGUUAUCCUUCCUUGGAUCAAAUCUAAGGAGGCAAAUACUUUAGACGUCUUACUCAUCAACUUACAUUUCUUGAAUUCUUUGAAACCUUUUGCAAAGUAUUCAGACUUGUGUUUAUUCAAAAUAAACUAUAGUCCAACCGAGAGUGAUCUUCGGUGAAUGUCAUACAACAUGAGUAGUAUUAUGUUGUGGACAAGUGCCACUAACAUCUAAGUGAAUCAACCUUAACAACUUUGUGAUUCUUUCUUCUUUCCAAAAGAAUAAAGAUUCGAACAUUUCGCCUCUAUACAAUUUUAAUAAGAAGGUAUUCGAUCCGGAUCUAACGAUCCAAAGCAUCCAUCUAUGACCAACUCGUAAUUUAUGUUUUAGAGGUAUCACAACUCAGUUGGGAUUAGUCACUACCUUGCAACCUUUUGGGUUUUAAGCAUUGUUAUAUUCUAAACAGUUAACACUACCAUAUCAUCUCUACUAUAGAGACAAUCAAUUAGAUUACAAUAAUCUAAUCAUUCAUUAAUAAAGAACAAUGUUUUGUCAAACAAAACAAUCAUCCAUCCCUUAUAGUGAUGGAAUUAAGUUCCUUAAAAUUGGAAUGUAAAGACAAUCUUUGGGUUUUCCAAUUUCUUUGGUAGUUCAUAUGAGGAAGUAAGUACCAUCUGCUUUCGCAGAGAUCUACAUUUGAUUCACGUUCCGAAUGUGAAGCACCUUUUUCUUCUCUCAUAUAUCUUCUACUUCUUAUUAGUCACACUUUUACAACGAUUGUAAAACAUAGUUACUAAUACAGAAUCAAGCAUUCAAGUAGAAGAACCAACUGUUUUGAACUUUUCAAGAACAAUUUACAACACCUUCGAAAGG